rnacentral:rRNA from 1 species
GGGUUGUGAGGUUAAGCGACUAAGCGUACACGGUGGAUGCCCUGGCAGUCAGAGGCGAUGAAGGACGUGCUAAUCUGCGAAAAGCGUCGGUAAGGUGAUAUGAACCGUUACAGCCGGCGAUGUCCGAAUGGGGAAACCCAGUGCAAUUCGUUGCACUAUCGUUAACUGAAUACAUAGGUUAACGAGGCGAACCAGGGGAACUGAAACAUCUAAGUACCCCGAGGAAAAGAAAUCAACCGAGAUUCCCCCAGUAGCGGCGAGCGAACGGGGAGCAGCCCAGAGUCUGAAUCAGCUUGUGUGUUAGUGGAACGGUCUGGAAAGUCCGACGGUACAGGGUGAUAGUCCCGUACACCAAAAUGCACAGGCUGUGAACUCGAAGAGUAGGGCGGGACACGUGGUAUCCUGUCUGAAUAUGGGGGGACCAUCCUCCAAGGCUAAAUACUCCUGACUGACCGAUAGUGAACCAGUACCGUGAGGGAAAGGCGAAAAGAACCCCGGCGAGGGGAGUGAAAAAGAACCUGAAACCGUGUACGUACAAGCAGUGGGAGCACCUUCGGGUGUGACUGCGUACCUUUUGUAUAAUGGGUCAGCGACUUAUAUUCUGUAGCAAGGUUAACCGUAUAGGGGAGCCGCAGGGAAACCGAGUCUUAACUGGGCGUUAAGUUGCAGGGUAUAGACCCGAAACCCGGUGAUCUAGCCAUGGGCAGGUUGAAGGUUGGGUAACACUAACUGGAGGACCGAACCGACUAAUGUUGAAAAAUUAGCGGAUGACUUGUGGCUGGGGGUGAAAGGCCAAUCAAACCGGGAGAUAGCUGGUUCUCCCCGAAAGCUAUUUAGGUAGCGCCUCGUGAAUUCAUCUUCGGGGGUAGAGCACUGUUUCGGCUAGGGGGUCAUCCCGACUUACCAACCCGAUGCAAACUACGAAUACCGAAGAAUGUUAUCACGGGAGACACACGGCGGGUGCUAACGUCCGUCGUGAAGAGGGAAACAACCCAGACCGCCAGCUAAGGUCCCAAAGUCACAGUUAAGUGGGAAACGAUGUGGGAAGGCACAGACAGCCGGGAUGUUGGCUUAGAAGCAGCCAUCAUUUAAAGAAAGCGUAAUAGCUCACUGGUCGAGUCGGCCUGCGCGGAAGAUGUAACGGGGCUAAACUGUGCACCGAAGCUGCGGCAGCGACACUUAGGUGUUGUUGGGUAGGGGAGCGUUCUGUAAGCCUGCGAAGGUGGCCUGUGAGGGUUGCUGGAGGUAUCAGAAGUGCGAAUGCUGACAUAAGUAACGAUAAUGCGGGUGAAAAGCCCGCACGCCGGAAGACCAAGGGUUCCUGUCCAACGUUAAUCGGGGCAGGGUGAGUCGACCCCUAAGGCGAGGCCGAAAGGCGUAGUCGAUGGGAAACAGGUUAAUAUUCCUGUACUUGGUGUUACUGCGAAGGGGGGACGGAGAAGGCUAUGUUAGCCGGGCGACGGUUGUCCCGGUUUAAGCAUGUAGGCGGAGGUUCCAGGUAAAUCCGGUACCUUUUUAACGCUGAGGUGUGAUGACGAGGCACUACGGUGCUGAAGUAACAAAUGCCCUGCUUCCAGGAAAAGCCUCUAAGCAUCAGGUAACAUUGAAUCGUACCCCAAACCGACACAGGUGGUCAGGUAGAGAAUACCAAGGCGCUUGAGAGAACUCGGGUGAAGGAACUAGGCAAAAUGGUGCCGUAACUUCGGGAGAAGGCACGCUGAUAUGUAGGUGAAGCCCCUGCGGGUGGAGCUGAAAUCAGUCGAAGAUACCAGCUGGCUGCAACUGUUUAUUAAAAACACAGCACUGUGCAAACACGAAAGUGGACGUAUACGGUGUGACGCCUGCCCGGUGCCGGAAGGUUAAUUGAUGGGGUUAUCCGUAAGGAGAAGCUCUUGAUCGAAGCCCCGGUAAACGGCGGCCGUAACUAUAACGGUCCUAAGGUAGCGAAAUUCCUUGUCGGGUAAGUUCCGACCUGCACGAAUGGCGUAAUGAUGGCCAGGCUGUCUCCACCCGAGACUCAGUGAAAUUGAACUCGCUGUGAAGAUGCAGUGUACCCGCGGCAAGACGGAAAGACCCCGUGAACCUUUACUAUAGCUUGACACUGAACAUUGAGCCUUGAUGUGUAGGAUAGGUGGGAGGCUUUGAAGCGUGGACGCCAGUCUGCGUGGAGCCAACCUUGAAAUACCACCCUUUAAUGUUUGAUGUUCUAACGUUGGCCCCUUAUCGGGGUUGCGGACAGUGUCUGGUGGGUAGUUUGACUGGGGCGGUCUCCUCCCAAAGAGUAACGGAGGAGCACGAAGGUUAGCUAAUCCCGGUCGGACAUCAGGAGGUUAGUGCAAUGGCAUAAGCUAGCUUGACUGCGAGCGUGACGGCGCGAGCAGGUGCGAAAGCAGGUCAUAGUGAUCCGGUGGUUCUGAAUGGAAGGGCCAUCGCUCAACGGAUAAAAGGUACUCCGGGGAUAACAGGCUGAUACCGCCCAAGAGUUCAUAUCGACGGCGGUGUUUGGCACCUCGAUGUCGGCUCAUCACAUCCUGGGGCUGAAGUAGGUCCCAAGGGUAUGGCUGUUCGCCAUUUAAAGUGGUACGCGAGCUGGGUUUAGAACGUCGUGAGACAGUUCGGUCCCCUAUCUGCCGUGGGCGCUGGAGAAUUGAGGGGGCUGCUCCUAGUACGAGAGGACCGGAGUGGACGCAUCACUGGUGUUCGGGUUGUCAUGCCAAUGGCAUUGCCCGGUAGCUAAAUGCGGAAGAGAUAAGUGCUGAAAGCAUCUAAGCACGAAACUUGCCCCGAGAUGAGUUCUCCCUGAGACUUUAAGUCUCCUGAAGGAACGUUAAAGACGAUGACGUUGAUAGGUCGGGUGUGUAAGCGUAGCGAUACGUUGAGCUAACCGAUACUAAUGAACCGUGAGGCUUAACCUUACAACGCCGAAGGUGUUU